rnacentral:sRNA from 1 species
CGUUCGGUCCGGAGUCAAUGGGUUAUCUUCCAAAACCCUCCCAUUGACACCAACUUGACCGGUGC